CAUAAUUUAGAUCCAAUACUGCACUAAUCUCAUAACACAAAUCCUUUGGCUAAUAAACAAAGAAAACCCAGUUGUGUUAGAGUUUAUGCUUUCCAAAUGGUUGAAUCUUCCAGGCAGAUAAACUUCCAUUUCUGUCUGAAAGUUUCUCCUUAUUUUAGUUCAACCUUGAUUUCUAUUUUGUUUCUUUUUCUUCUUCUUUUUUUUUUAAGUUCCCUUUCUUCAAGUUCCUUUCUUUUUGUAUUAAGUUCUACUUACUUUUGCUCAAAAAAAAGAAAAAAAAAACCCAACCUUCAAAUCCCUUUUGAUUAAUUUGAAGUAGUAAGAAUCUUCUCAAGACUAAGUGUAGUUUGAUUAAUUCUGAAGUUCCCAAUUGAGGUAAAUCUAUUUACAUUUGUGUUUAUAGGGUUUAGGGUUAAUUUCGAGGAAUGAAAAUUUGAACUCACUUUGUAUAAACUAUGAAAUUUUGAUCUUAUUUAUUGUUAAUUUCGAGGAAUGGAAAUUUUAACAUUUCUAAAAACAAAUGAAAAUUAAGAAAAAAUAUAUCAUACAAAUAAUUGAAACACCUCUUCAAAUAAUUACCAAAUCCACUAAAGCAAUCACCAAAACUUCAAGGAAAAUGUGAGAGCAUAGAUUUGUUCUUUUGUACCAUAUAAUCCUAAUAACUCUCAUUCUAAAUUGAUGGAUUAACUUUAAAUCAUUUUAUUAUAUUUUUAAAUCAACGAGGUUAUAUCAAUUAAGUUUUUCUUACUAAAAUUAUUAAUUUAAUGGUAAAUUUUUUUCCAAUUUCUCUCAAAUUUGAAUUUGAGUAAAUUAGUCUCAUUAGAAAAAAUUGGAGUAACUUAAUCCCUUUACAAUUUUGAAUUUGAACAAAUUAGUCUAUCUCAAAAAAGAAAUUGGAGCAACUUAAUCAUUAUCAAUUUUGAAAGUGAGUAACUAAGGACAAUUAAUCUCACUGUUAAUAUUUUUCAUCAAUUAUGCAUAAUUUUGAUUGGUAUAAUAACAAAUUUAGCAAUUGGUGUUUACAUAUUUUGUUAGUUUGGUCUUGAUUGUAAAAAGACCAACAAAUUCAGUCUCAACAUUUACACAUUUACAAAUAUAGGGGUUAAAUUUGUUAAAUCAUAAUUAAAUUGAUAGAAUGCUUUAGUUCCUCACUUUCUAAAUUGAUUCAAUUUUUAAGAGAGACCAAUUUGCUCGAUAUCAAAAUUGAUAGGGACUAGAGAGGUCAUCUUACCCAGUUUAAUCAUUAAAUGAUAUGUUACAUCUAAUAUGACAUAAUUUAAAAUGAAAAUUAAAAGAAUGAAUUUUGUAAAAGUAGAUGUUUUAAAACCUUAGUUUUCAAGUUUUGAAAUUUUUACAGAAGCAUUAUCAUUCAUUUUUUUAAAAGUUUAGUUUUACUUAAUUUUUUAAUGUUAAAAGUUAAAUAACGUUUAACUACAUAAGAUCUAAUGCGUCAUUUAAAGAUUGAAAUAACAAAAAUGACCUGAAUGAUAUAAUAUCGAUAAUUUAGAUCCCAACUUUAACAAUGCCUUGUUAAAAGUUAAGUAACAAGCCUUGUUGGUCUUUUUUGCAAACCAAUCAGUACCAACUUCAACAAUUUAGAUCCCAAUAUUGCAGUAAUUUCAGAACACGAAUCCUUCGGCUACAAGAAAACUCAGUUUUUAGUGGCGGAGCAUUGUAGAAAUUCAGGGGUCAUACUGAAAUAGUAAAAUUUUCCGAGCAGUUGAAUUUUCCAGGCAGAUAAACUUCAAUUUCUACUUGUUUAUUUUUCCCCCUUUCUUCGAGUUCCUUUCUUUUUGUAUUCAGUUUUACUUACUUUUGCUAUAUAAAAAAAAAACCAACCUUCAAAUCCCUUAUGAUUGUUUUGAAGUAAGAAUCUUCUGAGCACUAAGUGUAUUUUGAUUUUAAAAGUUCCCAAGUGAGGUAAAUCUAUUUAUAUAUGCUUCAUUUCUGUUUUUUAUAUAUAAAUUGUUCUCAUCUUUUUAUAUUUUUGUUCAAGCAAGUAAGAGCUAAAAGACUGUUUGGAUUUUGAAAUGCUGGACUGAGUUGAAAAACAGCACAUUUUGUGUUGUGCUUUCAGUUAGAAUGAGUUGAAAGAACAGCCCAUUGAUUCUCAUAGUUUGAGUUGUCUUUCACCUUCCUUGUGUUUGAACUUGGAACAUCAUCAUAUUCUUCAAUUUGAGCUUGUCAAGCAUGGGUUGCGAAUUUUGUGGGGCUGCUCUUCCUAACAUCUUUGCAACACUAGUUGUGGAUUGUGUGGUGAAGCCGCUAGUACGUUAAUUUGAUUAUGUCCGUCACUUUCAUGACAAUGUUGAAAAGCUCCGAGAGAAAAAGCAUGAACUUGCAGAUGCACGAGCUCGUCUACUACAUAAGAUUGAGGAUGCUAAAAGCCAGCUUCUACAAAUUGAAAAUGAUGUACAAAACUUGCAAUCAAGGGCAGAUGAAACACUGUCGAAUAUGGGAACUCUGGAAGAGGAAAUCCAACUGAAUAAGAGGUGUCUCAAUUGGUGUCCUAAUUGUAGUUGGAGAUAUCAAUUAAGCAAGAAAGCAAUAAAGAAAAUCCAGGAUAUCUCUGAGCUUUUGAACAAAUUUGGUCAACUUGGACCAGUCAGUUACCGUGCUUCUCUGCCCUUCCCACUGUAGGCUUCCUGUGUUCUAAGGAAUUUGUGGUUUCGAAAUCUUCGAAGGUUGCUUUCGAUCAAAUCAUUGAAGCCUUAAAAGAUGAGAAUAUCGACAUGAUUGGGUUGUGGGGGAUGGGAAGGUGUUGAAGCUGAUCUCCAUGCAGCUGGUAUGAAGAAUGUGUAGCUGGAAUUUGGCCAUGCAAGCUCGUGACAAGCAUGCAGCAACUUUGGUUUCUUGUUGCUGUUGGACUUGAACUAAUGUUUUGUUAUUUUGUAAUCUAGUUUGUAUCUUCAACUUAGUUGGUAAUUUUUUGAUGUAAUCCAUUGAUUGAUUGAUUGAUUGAAAUUUCAGCAAUACAACUUGGACGAUAAACUUAGCUAUUUUCAAUGUAAUAGAGUGGGGUUAGGUAUGUAAUUUGGUAGUCUUUUUGACUUGUACACUUCAUCUUUAGUUUUUCAUAUGUAAUGGCAAUAUGCUGAUGAUGUAUUAUGUAAUUACACAUCUUUUUCAUCAAGUUUUCUCAACUAA